UUUUGUUGCUCAUUAGUGAGUACUGCACAGAUAAACCUUGAAGUGUUGUAUCUCAUGCCUCUGCUCAGCUCUCAGGAGGGGAGAGCCUGGAGGAAGCUCCAUGUAACACCUUUUCUCUUACCCUGGCUGAUGCAAGAGAAGUGGUUUCCCAACUCCUGGCUUACAGUCAACAGGUUUUGCUUUGCUUGUGGCUUCAGGAAAUUAAAAGGUUAAGACUGAGAACAAUAAGACCAGAAAGACAUUGUGUUGCCUGUUGCUCUUGUAUAUUCAGGUUGGAUGUCCAUGGGCCAGUGGAGACAGCAGGCUGCUGACCGAGCUGGCGAGGGUUGAGGGCACAGCGGGUCACCACGCUCUGUGGCAGCUGUCAACCUCUAGCUGGAGGAGGGAAGCAGGGGGCUUAUUUGCCACUUGCUGAUCUAGUGUCCAGUAGAUUAUCUGCAGCUUUGUACUUGUCUGAUCAGUUCUAAUACUUCCGUGGCAUUUAUGCUGAAGCAAUGUCUUUUGGUUGAGAAGGCUGAAGUGUUUAUUUUGACAGAGUUCUGAAGUCUACUGAUACACUUGUGGUUGAAUCCUUCUUACCAGAGUACAAGAACCUCCUUACUUUGGUUUUCAUUUUGAAAUUCAAGACUCUGAUUAAACUCCUUUGGAAUCAAUGGGAAGACCACCUUGGGCUGCAGUAUAAAGUAAUAUAACCAAGGACGAGCAAAAAUUUACUCAAAUUUAACCUAACUUGCUCAAGCAUAUGUUAGAAGCAUCCCCUGCUGCCUCCUGUGUUAAGUUCAUGUAUUUGUAUUACUGUGUUUAUAGAGCUACCUCUACUUUGCUGUUACACAACUGCUCUCUCUGCAUUGCCUAUGAUUCCUUUUGCCCUCUUGUUCCCCUUUUAACCUAGAAAUAAAGCUGUGGAAAUCCCCUGUAAGGGGCACUUCUUGUUGUCUGCAUAGAAAGAAAAUGUACGUAUAUACUCUGUGGAUAUGGAAGUAAUUGCUGCUUUGCAAAUGACAAAUUCUCAAAGCCCAGUCACCGUUUGUGUGUCAAGAAUAAAAACUGGAAACACACCUGA